GGUUCAGGAUGAACGCUGGCGGCGUGCCUAACACAUGCAAGUCGAGCGAUCUCUCGGAGAAGAGCGGCGGACGGGUGAGUAACGCGUGGGUAACCUGCCCUGUACGACACGGAUAACAUACCGAAAGGUAUGCUAAUACGGGAUAAUAUGUUUUGAUCGCAUGGUCGAAAUAUCAAAGCUCCGGCGGUACAGGAUGGACCCGCGUCUGAUUAGCUAGUUGGUGAGGUAAUGGCUCACCAAGGCGACGAUCAGUAGCCGACCUGAGGGGGUGAUCGGCCACAUUGGAACUGAGACACGGUCCAAACUCCUACGGGAGGCAGCAGUGGGGAAUAUUGCACAAUGGGCGAAAGCCUGAUGCAAGCAACGCCGCGUGAGCGAUGAAGGCCUUCGGGUCGUAAAGCUCUGUCCUCAAGGAAGAUAAUGACGGUACUUGAGGAGGAAGCCCCGGCUAACUACGUGCCAGCCGCUGC
rnacentral:rRNA from 1 species